GCAAACUUGGUCAUUUAGAGGAAGUAAAAGUCGUAACAAGGUUUCCGUAGGUGAACCUGCGGAAGGAUCAUUAUUGAAUGAAAUUGAGUGGGGUUGUAGCUGGCCCGCUGUUGCUGGGCAUGUGCACACUUCAUUCAACCAACCUCUAUACCUCUGUGCACUUCUCAUGUGUUGGGCUGCAUCUGAAAUAUUGAUGAGGUCCUUCUCAUGUGUUUUUACACACACUAUUAUGGUUUAAGAAUGUUUAUUACAAUGCAUAAAAGCAUAUAAUACAACUUUCAGCAACGGAUCUCUUGGCUCUCGCAUCGAUGAAGAACGCAGC
rnacentral:misc_RNA from 1 species